AUAGCCCUUGAAAGGAAGGAAAAUGUUUUUCUGGAUAAAGAGAGGUAUGAGCUAAGACUUAGCAGGAAAUUUUCCUGAUGAGUGUCUUAUGGACUGGAUUUCACCUGCCUUAGCUCAUCCACUCAUUGCUUCGUACACUUUUGACUCUGCUCCCCCACCACGUGCUCUUUAUUUAAUGGCUAGGACAUUUUCUUCCUCAUUUUCUGCUUUUUACAGACCAGGCAGAACAUGAGGCAAUACCACCAGGAACGAAGAUUGGUGCCAGACUUUUCCCAGUGGGCAGACCAAAUGGGAAAGUCCAGUUCUGCUCUAAAAACGUGAGAAAUUCCCUGUGAAGAUGCAUGGGCCUAUGGCAGUGUUUGGACCAGGCAUCCAACUACCAUGAAUGCGUAGGGAUUGCCUGCACUCAGGAGCGCUGUUUCAGAGGUGUUUGCAAACCUUCCCUGGUGCUUUGGGUGCGUGGAAUGUGCACCUCACCCUCACUGCAGAGGCUGCAACCCAGGCUGGAUCCUGCCCAGGUGAGCCCCAAACCCAGGGAUGAGGGAUAAAGAUCCAUGAAUUGAGCCUGAACCUCUCAUCCUGCCAACUAGGGAGAGAUCUGCCCAGAUGACUUACACUAACGUUAAUGGAAACUGUGUGCAGAAACCACAAGCUUAAAUCAAGAGGAUUAUGUCAAAAAAGCAGACUUUACAUUUGUAAUUCCAAAUGACAGACUGCGAGUAGUGUUUUUUUGUUGUUUUUUUUUUUGCUCACUGUAAAGAACCCAUCACUAUUUUCAGCUUCUUAAAGCUGACACAAUGCCCAGACUUCAUGGGGAUCAAGUUCUGAAAUGGCUUUUGUAAUUCAGAGGAUAAAGGAAGAAAUCUCCCCAAAUGGGGUUACGAUAAUAGGCACCUACGUGAAAAGAGAAGUUCUCAGAGCCUUCAGCCAAAGUUUUGGCUUGGCUUCUCACUGCAGCCCCUGUGCCAAGGUGGGCGAGCUGCUGGAUAUCAUUUCCUUGUGGUGGCGUGGUUGGGAGCGAGGUGAGCCAUGCAGCAUCAGUCGGUCCUGCCUACCUAUCCUCGAUGCUUUCCAUGGAAGAAAGCCUUUCCUGGCCCAUGGCACUUUUCAAAUUCUGUCCACUGAUUAAAAUGAAAGGAUGGCAAAAGAGAAACAUCAGGAAUCUCCACUACGAAUGGUGCUGAUUUGUCUGAGGCUGACUGAGCCUGGAGAAAUAGCAGCUAGGGAUAUAGAGCAGAUCCAAUACACCAGUCAUGCACUGAUCGAAAUGCAUUUGAAGAAUGGUGUGAAAUUUAAUGCUGUGAGUAUUGCAACAGGUUGAGAGGGCAAGAACCAAAUUUUUUGCUAGGAAACAGUAGCCAUUGCUGGUGAGCAGGGAGCAACUCAUCAUUAGGCUCUUGUCAAUGACAGACGUGUUUGCAGCUCUGGACAUCUGGAAGGGAUUUCGCAGAAAGGUCUGAUUCCUGUGGCACCACUCAUCUUCCUGCCUGAUGGAUUCAAAGGGGAUGAGGUAAAAGGAGAAAAGAAAACUGAAGAUUCUCAGGAGGUGCUUGGCUGCAGGCCAGCAGGCUGCUGGCUUCGUGGUGCUCAGAGGUUGCUCAGUCUUACAGAAGCUGCAGAGGAACGGGCUGGUUCUAUAGAGGUGUGACCUGACUUUCCAACCUGCGUGGUGACUUGGCUGUCAGGUUAUUCUGGCAGAGAUUUCUCCCUGUCUGGGGUCUAGGAAGCAUUCCAACUGCCAGUGCAGCAUUUGUGGCUGAGGCAUGCUGUGCUCGUGCCCUUGGAUUGGUCCUGCUGGAGGUGACCUUCCUAGGCACCGUGCUGCUGUACACCACGCUGAUGAGCCACGUGUUUUAAUAUCCCAUAAGAUCUGGUGUGUUAUCCAAUGCAUGGCAUGCCUUCUUUACAUAAGGACAAGACUGAAGGAGAAUAGCUGGUCUGUGUGUUUAACUUGCUGUUGGAAUAUGUCACUGGGUGUCUCAUGUUUUUGAGAUAUUUUCUCUUAGUGCCCUCUGGGCUAAAAUAACAAGGGUCUGUCCAGGAGUCAGAAGUCAGCCUGCUGGCUCAGACCUCGGUAGGAUUCAGAUAUGAUUCCUAAUUUGGGAAAUUCCUGCUCCAAGAAGUCCCUGGA
ensembl:lncRNA